GCCUUCGUGGUGUAACGGUAGCACACUCACCUCGUAUUCGAGAGGUCCGCGAUUCGAGUCCCGGCGAAGGCA
rnacentral:tRNA from 1 species